rnacentral:rRNA from 1 species
UACGGGGGGGGCAAGCGUUAAUCGGAAUUACUGGGCGUAAAGCGUGCGCAGGCGGUGAUGUAAGACAGUUGUGAAAUCCCCGGGCUCAACCUGGGAACUGCAUCUGUGACUGCAUCGCUGGAGUGCGGCAGAGGGGGAUGGAAUUCCGCGUGUAGCAGUGAAAUGCGUAGAUAUGCGGAGGAACACCGAUGGCGAAGGCAAUCCCCUGGGCCUGCACUGACGCUCAUGCACGAAAGCGUGGGGAGCAAACAGG